rnacentral:rRNA from 1 species
AUACGUAGGUGGCAAGCGUUGUCCGGAAUUAUUGGGCGUAAAGCGCGCGCAGGCGGUCCUUUAAGUCUGAUGUGAAAGCCCACGGCUCAACCGUGGAGGGUCAUUGGAAACUGGGGGACUUGAGUGCAGAAGAGGAAAGUGGAAUUCCAAGGGUAGCGGUGAAAUGCGUAGAGAUUUGGAGGAACACCAGUGGCGAAGGCGACUUUCUGGUCUUAAACUGACGCUGAGGCGCGGAAGCGUGGGGAGCAAACAGGAUAAGAUACCCUGUUAGUCCACGCCGUAAACGAUGAGUGCUAAGUGUUAGGGGGUUUCCGCCCCUUAGUGCUGCAGCUAACGCAUUAAGCACUCCGCCUGGGGAGUACGGUCGCAAGACUGAAACUCAAAGGAAUUGACGGGG